rnacentral:lncRNA from 1 species
AGAUCGGAGGAUGUUUUUAAAAGGAAAAAUCAAAGCAUGUCUGUAGCUUCUGCAUGCCUGUAGUGGGACAAAGAGUCCUAACAGGCCUGGCUGAAGAUGCAGAAGCAGCUUCAAGCCCCAGUGACCAGGGACAGCCAGCACUGAUUCAGAGCCCAGUACCUUGGACUCCCAGUCUUCGACCACCUUGUUCCUCUCCUCGGAGGAGCCAGGCCCCUCCACCGCCGCCCUGCCAUCUCCCUCCUCCUCUUCCUGCGAGCCUCAGGCCUUUUCCCCAGGUCCGCCAGCGCUGCCUCCGCUGUUGCCUCCGCUCCCCGCAGCCUCGGCGCCCCCAGGCCCCGGCGCCUCCCGGCGCACAGGCCGCUACUCAGUCGUCGCCUCCUCCCCGGAGGCCGCCCCGCGUCUGGUCGACUGGCUCCCCGGUUGCCCUUCGACCAUCUCUCCCAGCACACGCGGGGAUGACAAGGAGCGGCCGCCGCCCGUCCUGGCACCGGCCGAGGGCCCGGAAAGGAGCCGCGCCCCGCGCCCCAGCACUGCGGGCAGGGAGGAGGGCACCGUGGACGCGGGUACAUCCCCGCCGCCCCGAGCCCGGCCCGCCGCUGCGGCGAGCUUGGAGGCCCACGUCGGGGACAUCCUGGUGGAGCUGCGGACCAUGAACGGCCACCUGGACAGCAUAGCGCGGGCCCUCACCAAACUGGCUUCGUCCCUGGGGCCCCAGCCUGAGCCCCUGCCAGAUGUUUCGGAUGCCAACUAAUGGAGCUCGGCGAGGCUGGGCCGCCCCGGGGCCGAGGGAUCGCUUGCACCAGGCAUCCCUGCCUGUCCCUCCCCAGCAGCGAAGCGCGCCCAGCGGAGGAGCGGUUGCUCUGCGCAGCUGCCUAGCGGAAAGCACGGCCCUAGCGUUUCAGCGUGAAACAGACCCGGUUGCGCCUCACACCCUCCUCCUCCGCUCUCUCACGGCGGCCCCUGCCCCGGCUUCCUGGCCCUUCACAUGCCCUUCUCUUGUCUUGAGCGUCUAGCAGAAAAAGUGCCUGGAAACGGCGGUGGCACCCUGCGAAGGAUGCUUAGAGAAACACUCUUUCACAUCCCAUUCCUGCGACUUCCGCGUGGCGUGGAGGGAGAGGAGCUCAAAGCAAGUCGCCAAAGCAGCAGCGAGGCCAGCUCCAGCGUUGGUGGGGCAUCCAUCUCUGGUGACGUUCACAAGAGGAGAAUUGAUGGCCCAAAGUGAAUGUCCUGCCCUGUGAUCUGCCCUUUAGCGGAAGAAACAGCAAAACCGGCAUCAACUAAAGCAACUGGGAACAUCAAGUUUUUAUUCAUUUGUUGAUUUGAACAGUAUUUCAUUCUGAUUUUAACUGACUUCUUUUGCAUUAGAUUAAAAACAACAACAAAAGACUGAAAUCUUUCAAGAACAAAGAGGAGCUGGCCUAUAAAUCCUAAAUACAGAUGUAGUGAUUGAACCCAUCUAGGUAGCUUAUGAAUAUAAAUCUCACCCAAAGUUUCAUCCACACUUAAGAGAUAACCACUGUUAAUAUUUUGGCAACUACUCUUGGAAGUAUUUGUGUCUAAAUACAAAUACCUAUGCGUAUGCAAUUUUACUUAACUGUGAUCAUAGUAGGCCUGCUGUUCUGUAACCUGUUUUUUUUUAAUCUUGAUAAUAGAUGAUAGAAAUCUUUUCAUUUAAAAAGCAAUGUUAUAUAUGAAGUAAAAUUUGCUUAACCAUU